AUGUUCUUGGUUUUUGUUUUUCUUUCUCUAUGUAAUGUGAAAUACAGUACAUAUGAAGAACUGCAAAUUAAAUGAAAAACUAGUCUAAGUUAGUGUUCCCUUUAGUGUCUCAAAAACCUAUACCCUAAAAAGUUUGAAGAAAAGCUUGAAAAGCUUGUUUGCUCCUGUUCCCUUCCCUAAACCCAGUAAACAUGCCGAUUCUGAAAUUGAUCAUUCCAUGUGUCUGUUCACCUCCCAGACAGUAUUACCAUCACCACCAACUGGAACAAGCAGCUUUUGGUCAACCUGGGAGUGAGCUUCUGCCAUUCCCUGCCUGCUCUUCUACCUCCAUGGGCAAACUCGAACCCUGCCAUGCUAAUCCAAACCAGUUCCACCUGCAGUCUGCCUCCUGAUGGAUUCCUUCCACUCAGGCUGUGAGUGACUGGGUGAGAAGCACCUGUAAAUCCAUGUCGAUGCCAGAUCAAGGUAAAGUCUAUUGUGAAGGAUUACAAAGUCAAUACAUCAGCUCAUGGCACUGUCAACCUUAAUCCUCCACGCUGGAGACUCUUCUCCACCUGGACAGACACUGUGUGACAGGAAUUUUCUAGCACUUUCAGUGCAUAAACCCCAUUUCUGUACUUCUGAGAACCAAGAUGAGGACAGAAGUGACAGGUUCAGAGAAUUAGUUUCCAGUUCUCUGCCUCUUAUCUUUAUACUAAGAAGAAGACAACCAAUUUGCUUUAUUAAGCCAUGAUGUGUCAGUGUGUGUCACAUUAGAAAGAAUUCAGGAAAAUAUGUUGCUGUACUGUAUGAUUCUUCUUCUUCUUCUUUCAGAGUUGACCUGUUUCAUUAUUUAGAACCUAACAAUAAGGCCUGUAGAAUAUUUUGGCUGAAUUUUGAACGUGUCAUAUGU
ensembl:lncRNA